rnacentral:rRNA from 1 species
AGAGUUUGAUCCUGGCUCAGGACGAACGCUGGCGGCGUGCUUAACACAUGCAAGUCGAACGAUGAAGCCUAGCUUGCUAGGUGGAUUAGUGGCGAACGGGUGAGUAAUACGUGAGUAACCUACCUUUAACUCUGGGAUAAGCCUGGGAAACUGGGUCUAAUACCGGAUACGACCAAUCUCCGCAUGGGGUGUUGGUGGAAAGCGUUAUGUAGUGGUUAUAGAUGGGCUCACGGCCUAUCAGCUUGUUGGUGAGGUAAUGGCUCACCAAGGCGACGACGGGUAGCCGGCCUGAGAGGGUGACCGGCCACACUGGGACUGAGACACGGCCCAGACUCCUACGGGAGGCAGCAGUGGGGAAUAUUGCACAAUGGGCGCAAGCCUGAUGCAGCGACGCCGCGUGAGGGAUGACGGCCUYCGGGUUGUAAACCUCUGUUAGCAGGGAAGAAGAGAAAUUGACGGUACCUGCAGAGAAAGCGCCGGCUAACUACGUGCCAGCAGCCGCGGUAAU